AUUUACUCAGAGCUUGCUCCUGGCUUUUCGGAGCUUCCGCUGUUUUGUUUUGUUUUUUUCUUUUAGAUGUAGCCUGGUCGUGUAGUUUAGGCUGUCCUUGAACUCACCAAGUACCCAGGCUGCCUUUGAGCUAGCUGUGAUCUUCCUGCAUCGGCCUCCCCCAUGCUGGAAUCAGAGCUGUGCGCCAACACGCCUGAAUGCGCCCGUAUUCUUGCGGGGCUCCGUGGGCUCUUCCUUUGACUGGCCCCUCAGCAUGGUGUCGAACGUGUACUACGAUAAUGCCAGUUACUACACCAUGGAGAAGUCACAGUCGUGAGAGAACUAGGUGGGUCUGAGCACAGUGAAACAGAGGGAGGGCCUGAUGUUGAGCAAGGUCGAAAACUUGGUAUCAGGUACCUGGCUUCAUGGAUAUGUUUUUGUCACACUGGAUCUCUCAAUGUACUCAUUUUAGCCAAGAAAAUAAAUAUAUGCCCCCCCCCCAAAGAGAUACAAUUCUUGAAGAAACUGAGAAUAAAUUAUAGCAACAUUCUGCGAAGCUGCCAGAACAAAAAAAUUCAAACAUUUUACCUACAUCAGACUGGCAACCUUUUCUAUCAAGUAUCACGAUUUAAACCUGAAUUUUGAAGCAAACCUAUUCUCAAGCCGGAGGGCCAGAAUGAUUGCUGAAAUACAAGCUCUACAAUGGAUCACUGCCUGAUGAAGCGGUGGGGACCCCUCAGGACCUGGUCCAGUUGGCAGAGCAAGCAGAAGCCAGAGGCUGUGGCAGUCUGAAUUGUGUGGCGCUUACAGGUCAGCUUUUUUUUUUCGUACCGGGGCAUCAAACUCCGGACAGGUGGCGGAAACACUGAACUGAAUCUCCGGCCCCAGGUCAGCUUUUUAGGAGACAGUGCAUGAUGGAGAAGCCAGCGGAUCUGCCAGAUUAGGACAGUACGCACUUUCUUUUUCAUUGAAACUGGACAGGGAAGCACUGAUGUCUGAGCAGAGAGCCAUGGCUGAACAACUUCCUCCAGACAAGCAACAUCCACACUGCCCAAGAGGAGCCAUCCGUCCACUGCCAGGUCUACAUUACCUUGAUGUUGGGAAGACUUCUAGCUUAUUUACCUGAGAGCAAAACACUGGCUUCACACUAUUUCCAACCAGCUCCUAUGCCACCUGUCCCUGUCUUGAUGUCUCAAAGGGCUGAAGUCGUGUCUGUCCAGUCCAGUAUCCACCAAGCCUGGGAGAUCCUCUCCCUUAUAGACCAGGGAAUGGAGGAUUUGCAGGGAAUCUUUGUUAUGUGGUCAGAAAGGGGCUGCAACCUCUGAAUUCCUCAUGAAUCUGCCCAGAUUCCCAACAGGCUUCCAUGUUGGCUUUCUGGAGAAGGCCAUGGGAAUGGCAUGUGGGGAAGUCCACAGCAGAGAGAAAGUGUGCAGCAUUAGUUGAAGGCUGCCCUUAAUCUGGCCUCUCCUCCAGGCUUGAGUGUCACCUGAGUGUCAAACAGGAAUCUCUUUGGCCUUCUCACACAGGCCACAUUCUGUAAUGCAGCCCAUAUGGGGUAGGACAAGUCGACUGGCAGUGCAAUGUAGAGAUCAAAUAAUUUGAGAAGGCUCCUCCCCCCUGGUUUGUGGUGGAGAGGAGGAAAAAUGGAGGAAUCCCCCAGGUUUGGAAAUUCCCUGGACUUUUUGCUCAUUCUGGAUGUCUGGUCAUUCAACCAGCCCAAGUGUGGAAUGUAGCUGCUAGGUCAAUGAUUUUCAAACAGUGGUGAUCUUGGUUUUCAAAAAACAUGUAGAUGUGUCUGCAGAUUUAUUUCACAUGACAUAAAGGGGGAGUGGAUUUUUUUGUCAUGUUGUGUGUUUAGGCCAAACAUGAUGAUAAGUAUCAUACAAUGAACAAGACACCCUCCCUACCAUUUAAUAAUUUUCUAGUAUAUUGAGAGAAUUGAUUUGCUUUUUUGGUUUUCAUUAUCAACUGAGUCUCAAUACUUUUUCCUCUUUCCACAUGUCAAGUGGGUGGAUCCCGGCCUCUCAUAGCACUUGACAAUGUCCACUGAAAUAGUUUCUGUAUGUUCCACCUUUUAAACAUUUCCUGGUCUUUCUGAAUUUCAGAUGAUUCCACAUCAAGAAACUAUGAAUAGUUGUACAGUUAUUAACCAUCAUAUUAUGAUACACAUGGUAGAGAGUUUUCACUAAAGAAGUUUCAAGAGUCUUAGAAGUCCUUACAUCAGAAUUCCUAAAGUAUGAUUCAUUAAAAUAAUAUUCUAUGUGUGUCCUCAUAAUUCCUGUGGUGUGACAGGCUUUGAAGAAUAGCCACAAUAAAUUUGUCCAUAGAACACAUUUGAAGCAUCACCAUAUGCACUUAACUCAAUUUCUAAUGGAUAACUGAAGUAGAGGGAUGUGAUGGAGGCUCCGGCAAAUUAAAAUGUGGGUCAGUUACAUUGUUGGAAAGGGAGAAGUACUUAGGAUGCUUAGCAUUUGUCUAGAGAAAUGACUCAAAGGAUCAAUAGUGUUGGGAGGGAAUCAAGAGGCAGUUUUAAUAAGCAAUCCAGGAUGUGUAAGUCCCUAGGCACAGUGCAGACUGUGAGAACAUUCAAGUGGAAUGGUGAGGGAUCCACCAACAUACAGGAGAACGUGAACGAUGUACAUUUGAUUAGAUGUUUCAAUACAUUCUGUCACAUGGAAAUAUUUCAUCACAUCUUUGUUUUCCAAUAAGUAAUAUUUCUUGCAUGUUUUAAAUCCAUAUAUAGUCUCUUAGAAUUAUGUUUUUCUACUGUGUGAAUAAGCACAAAAGAAAAACAAGGGCUUACCUGGUUUUAAUGCAAAGACUUGAUUGGAAUAUAUGUUAACAGACACAUGCUGCAGAGCAGUGAAACAGGUGACGUGUGUGAGUGGUACUGGGAUUUGGUCUUUGCAGACAUUCUUACUGGUUAUCAUGGGCUGCUCCUUAGAAAAUGCUUUGAUGUACAAAUUGUUGCUGGAGUCACACUGAAACGUGUACACAUGAAGGAAAUCUGUGAAGAGUAGUCCUAGAGAAGACUCAGUCUUCUGAAGAAGCUGAUGCAUUUGGUAGUUUACUAGUUUCAGAUACCAAAUGUUAAUUGUUGUAGUUUUUGUUACGGGUACAAAGACCUUAAGGAUAAAAAAUUUAUUUUGGCUCAUGGUUAAGGGAUCUGGUGCCACCAUCCUGGUCUGAGCAGAGAGCACUUUAAAUCCCCUCAUCCUGCUAUGCUUCACACCUGCUGCAGAUGUAAGAUCAUGGGCCGUAAGGCCCAGUAAGGACAGCCACACCCUAGAGUUUCCAAUUGUGUUCAACCCUGUUCUUGACAAAUUACAGCCCCUGUGCAUUCUCAAGCCCUGUCCCAGGCGGGCGGAAAGCCACACUCCUUUGUACUGAACGUUCUCCCCCAAAAGUCCCAUUGUACCUCUUCCUUCCACACCCCCCUCUUUUUAUGCUCAUGAGACUAUAAGGACCUUAUAGUCUGUAGGAGAGUGAACGGGUCUGGUCUCUAGUGCCAAAGCGAUCCCUCUCAGGUUUAUUCUGAAAUAAACUUGUACUGCUGAGCUCGUA